rnacentral:rRNA from 1 species
UGGGGAAUUUUGGACAAUGGGGGAAACCCUGAUCCAGCCAUCCCGCGUGUUCGAUGAAGGCCUUCGGGUUGUAAAGCACUUUUGUCAGGAAAGAAACGUCAUGGGUUAAUACCCCGUGAAACUGACGGUACCUGCAGAAUAAGCACCGGCUAACUACGUGCCAGCAGCCGCGGUAAUACGUAGGGUGCAAGCGUUAAUCGGAAUUACUGGGCGUAAAGCGUGCGCAGGCGGUUCGGAAAGAAAGAUGUGAAAUCCCAGAGCUCAACUUUGGAACUGCAUUUUUAUCUACCGGGCUAGAGUGUGUCAGAGGGAGGUGGAAUUCCGCGUGUAGCAGUGAAAUGCGUAGAUAUGCGGAGGAACACCGAUGGCGAAGGCAGCCUCCUGGGAUAACACUGACGCUCAUGCACGAAAGCGUGGGGAGCAAACAGG